CGUGCUUAUCGCCGCCAAGCAUCACAAUCAUUAAAUAUGUACUUGAGAGCUGUUGCAUACAGAUGGUUGAUGCGAUUGUUUUAGUGGGUCUAUGAGAUGGGAGAAUACUUGGCCUUUACCUGCUUGUGUUUACCACAUAAAGUUCUUUUCAACACAUUUACCACAAUUUUGCUCUACAAUGGCCAUCGAACCAAUGUUUUUAAUGUGUACUUUUGGAUUUUCAGCCUUGCAGUUAAAGCAAAAUUUUUCAAAUAACUCAACCAAUGAGAUGUAAAAUACCAUGAACAUAGGUUGUUCAUGCGAGCUUACUCCUUCAUCAAUUCUGUAACACGAUUAAGAAAAUUCCUUAUUAUGAAAUACAACAGAGAUCUAAUUCUUUAUAAGAUAAAA